UAGGGAAUUUUCCACAAUGGGGGCAACCCUGAUGGAGCAACGCCGCGUGCAGGAUGAAGGUCUUCGGAUUGUAAACUGCUUUUAUCUGUGACGAUUUUGACGGUAGCAGAUGAAUAAGGAUCGGCUAACUCCGUGCCAGCAGCCGCGGUCAUACGGAGGAUCCAAGCGUUAUCCGGAAUUACUGGGCGUAAAGAGUUGCGUAGGUGGUUAUGAAAGCAAAUAGUGAAAGCGUGGGGCUCAACCUCAUAUACAUUAUUUGAACUUCAUUGACUAGAGGAUGAGAGAGGUCGCUGGAAUUGCUAGUGUAGGAGUGAAAUCCGUAGAUAUUAGCAGGAACACCGAUGGCGUAGGCAGGCGACUGGCUCAUUCCUGACACUAAGGCACGAAAGCGUGGGGAGCGAACAGG
rnacentral:rRNA from 1 species